rnacentral:tRNA from 1 species
GGGCGGGUAGCUCAGUUGGUUAGAGCAACUGGUUUACACUCAGUAGGUCGCAGGUUCGAGUCCUGUCCCGCCCACCA